AGGGAGGAAAGACACGGCCCUUCUCGUCUUAUAAGAAGUCUCUUGGGACACUUCUGGUGCCCAAGUGUGCACUUCUUCAAAUUGUGUCACAAACACAAAGAGAGAGAGAGAGAGACUUCUUUCUUUUCUUCUC
ensembl:ncRNA B0350.68 ncRNA